rnacentral:rRNA from 1 species
ACUCAAAUGAAUUGACGGGGGCCCGCACAAGCAGCGGAGCAUGUGGUUUAAUUCGACGCAACGCGAAGAACCUUACCUGGGCUUGACAUGUAGGUCAUAUCCGUGGAAACACGGAGUCAGUUCGGCUGGACCUUCACAGGUGGUGCAUGGCUGUCGUCAGCUCGUGUCGUGAGAUGUUGGGUUAAGUCCCGCAACGAGCGCAACCCCCGUCGCAUGUUGCCAGCAUUUAGUUGGGGACUCAUGCGAGACUGCCGGUGACAAACCGGAGGAAGGUGGGGAUGACGUCAAGUCAUCAUGCCCCUUAUGUCCAGGGCUACACACGUGCUACAUUGGCACGUACAGAGGGCUGCGAUACCGUGAGGUGGAGCGAAUCCCUCAAAGCGUGUCUCGGUUCGGAUUGCAGGCUGAAACCCGCCUGCAUGAAGGCGGAGUUGCUAGUAAUCGCGGAUCAGCAUUGCCGCGGUGAAUACGUUCCCGGGCCUUGUACACACCGCCCGU